GCGUCUGUAGCUCAGUGGUAGAGCACGACUCUUAUAAAGUCGCUGUCGAUGGUUCGAUUCCAUCCAGACGCA
rnacentral:tRNA from 1 species